UAGUGCUGAUAACCCCUACGAAAAUGGAUUUCAAGCUAGGGAAAUUUUCUCCAAUAGAGAAGAUAAAUACAAAGUUAGAUAAUAUAUUAGAAAUUAUUAAUCCUUUGUCACCAAAAAAAAAACAAGCAAGGCUUAAAAACAUGCAAGAAGAAAAAUAAGAACACAUAUCGAUAAAUAAGAACACAUAUUAAGAUUAAGUGUUGAAAAGAAAAUGAAUUGUGGAGUAUUUCUUAAGUGAUGAUAUUGUAUUACAGAAUAGGAAAUUCACAUAUUUAAUACGAAACCAGCAAAGUAUAUAGGUCAUGUGCAAUGCAAAUUCUGUUUAUGUAUUGUGAUAAUUGAUUUAUCACAUAAUUAUUGAAAUUUCUGACAGACCAGUCAAAAAUCACAUAACCUCAAUUCAGUGAUAUGAUAUGAAUAUUAUAGGUAGAUAAGUGUAAUAUAUAUGGUAUCAUACAUAUU